UCCAUGUGCGAGAAGAACGGCCAGACCCCUCCGCCGAUGCCAGUCAUUGCUCCGGCGGGCACGCGUAACUCCCGACAAGCAUCGACCGAUCCUUCUCCGUUUGCCACUGGCGCGACCGGUCCUACACCUACACCUACACCUACACCUCCGUGAUGACGAUUUGCUUAAGAUCACGGAAGCUUGGGUUGAUGGAGUGCUUGUAUUUAGUUUUUG